ensembl:lncRNA
GCCCCACAUCCAUCAGAGGUUGACUUUGGCCGCCCCACAUCCAUCGGACGUUGGUUUGGCUGCCCCACAUCUACCGGACGUUGACUUUGGCUGCCCCACAUCCGUUGGGAUAUUGGCUUUGGCUGCCCCACAUCCAUCGGACGUUGGCUUUGGCUGCCCCACAUCUGUUGGAAUAUUGACUUUGGCUGCCCCACAUCCAUCGGACGUUGACUUUGGCCGCCCCACAUCCAUCAGACGUUGGUUUGGCUGCCCCACAUCUACCGGACGUUGGCUUUGGCUGCCCCACAUCCAUCAGCCGUUGGUUUGGCUGCCCCACAUCUACCGGACGUUGGCUUUUGCUGCCCCACAUCCAUCAGCCGUUGGUUUGGCUGCCCCACAUCUACCGGACGUUGGCUUUGGCUGCCCCACAUCCAUCAGCCGUUGGUUUGGCUGCCCCACAUCUACCGGACGUUGGCUUUGGCCGCCCCACAUCCAUCAGACGUUGGCUUUGGCUGCCCCACAUCCGUUGGGAUAUUGGCUUUGGCCGCCCCACAUCUAUCAGACGUUGGCUUUGGCCGCCCCACAUCUAUCAGAUAUUGGCUUUGGCUGCCCCACAUCUAUCAGACGUUGACUUUGGCUGCCCCACAUCCAUCGGACGUUGGUUUGGCUGCCCCACAUCCAUUGGGAUAUUGGCUUUGGCCACCCCACAUCCCAUCGGACGACGGUUUGGCUGCCCCACAUCCCAUAGGAUGCUGAAUAUGGCCACCCCACAACCCCAAUAUGGCCACCCCAUAUCCCUAAUUAAUUUACCCACCCCAUAUCCUUAAUUUGGCCACCCCACAUCCCAUAGGACGACGGUUUGGCUGCCCCACAUCCCAUAGGAUGCUGAAUAUGGCCACCCCACAUCCCAUAGGAUGACAGUUUGGCUGCCCCACAUCCCAUAGGAUGCUGAAUAUGGCCACCCCACAACCCUAAUAUGGCCACCCCACAUCCCAUAGGAUGACGGUUUGGCUGCCCCACAUCCCAUAGGGUGCUGAAUUUCCCCCCCCCAACCCUAAUAUGGCCACCCCACAACCUUAAUAUGGCCACCCCAUAUCCCUAAUUAAUUUGGCCACCCCAUAUCCUUAAUUUGGCCACCCCACAACCCUAAUAUGGCCACCCCACAUCCCAUAGGAUGACGGUUUGGCUGCCCCACAUCCCAUAGGGUGCUGAAUUUCCCCCCCCAACCCUAAUAUGGCC